rnacentral:sRNA from 1 species
UCAGCAGAGAGGGAGUUCUUGAAGAGUGAGGAGAGUGACAGCUGCCACCGAGCCCUGCAUACCUAGGGCAUGCCGCUAAUAUUAUUAGUUGCGAGUGUUGUUUUUUGUCAUUCUUCGUGCGCCUACAAUGUUGCCUCUCCCCGCUUUCUUCAUCGGGUUCGCCCCUCGUAAUCGAAGGCCAGUCGCGUGGCAGCGAUGGAUCCCCACAACAGGCUAGCCAAAAAACCUCCGUCGCUGAGCAUGAUGGCUCGGAUCAACGGGGUCUGGAUGAACGUCUCGGAAAAAAUCCUUCCAAGUACAGCACAUUGCUGGGGAUGUCUGUCGAUAAAGGGAUAUCCGCCCCAAUUCACGUUGUGAAAGGCAAACGAGCAACCUCGGCCUUCAGUGCAGUGGUUCGAACCCCGGGCUGGAUGGAAAGCGCUUCGAUUCAAACUUUGUGUCGCAAGUGUCAAGGUUGCACAACAACUUGUUUCGUUCCACAAUCUGGCCACCUGACCGCCAUAAACUCGAAAUGUGGUUCUAUGACAAGGAGCUGCGACAGCAAAACCACUUUAU